rnacentral:tRNA from 1 species
GUUAAUGUAGCAAACCUAGGCUUUGCAAAGAC